AUGUUAUUGCACAAAUUCCACCGAAAAUCCAGUUUAUAGCACAACCCUGCCAUCUGGAGAUAUGUCUUCCCCUGCCAUCCAAACUGAUUCAUCAGUGAGGAUACACUAUUGUGCCAUUGCUGUUGCUGUCACGUUUGCCUUAACCCUCGUCAUCUUGGCUUUCCUCAUCUGCAGGACAAACAGCAGUGCAAAAUAUGCUCCUACAAGAGCCUCAGCUGAUGGACAAAACCAGCCUUGUUCAGUAGAAUUAGCCUAAGGAGGCAUCUGAACUUGCACUAGAAACAACAACACAUGGCGUGGAGUCAUGACAACACAUUAUCCGAUAAUGUAACACGUAUUAUAUUAUAUUAUAUUAUAUUAUAUUAUAUUAUAUUAUAUUA
ensembl:lncRNA